UUUNAUCAAAGCAAGGCACUGAAAAUGCCUAGAUGAGUCAUGAGACUCCAUAAACA
rnacentral:tRNA from 1 species